rnacentral:rRNA from 1 species
UACGAAGGGGGCUAGCGUUGCUCGGAAUCACUGGGCGUAAAGCGCACGUAGGCGGAUCUUUAAGUCAGGGGUGAAAUCCCAAGGCUCAACCUUGGAACUGCCUUUGAUACUGGGGAUCUCGAGUCCGGAAGAGGUUGGUGGAACUGCGAGUGUAGAGGUGAAAUUCGUAGAUAUUCGCAAGAACACCAGUGGCGAGGGCGGCCAACUGGUCCGGUACUGACGCUGAGGUGCGAAAGCGUGGGGAGCAAACAGG